AUCUUCCUAGUAUAAUUGUCAGUACAAGUGGCUUCCAACCAUUUAAUCUUGGUUAAAAUCCAAGGGAAGAUA
rnacentral:tRNA from 1 species